AAGAGCUCGUAGGCGGUUUGUCGCGUCUGCCGUGAAAGUCCGGGGCUUAACUCCGGAUCUGCGGUGGGUACGGGCAGACUUGAGUGAUGUAGGGGAGACUGGAAUUCCUGGUGUAGCGGUGAAAUGCGCAGAUAUCAGGAGGAACACCGAUGGCGAAGGCAGGUCUCUGGGCAUUAACUGACGCUGAGGAGCGAAAGCAUGGGGAGCGAACAGGAUUAGAUACCCUGGUAGUCCAUGCCGUAAACGUUGGGCACUAGGUGUGGGGGACAUUCCACGUUUUCCGCGCCGUAGCUAACGCAUUAAGUGCCCCGCCUGGGGAGUACGGCCGCAAGGCUAAAACUCAAAGGAAUUGACGGGGGCCCGCACAAGCGGCGGAGCAUGCGGAUUAAUUCGAUGCAACGCGAAGAACCUUACCAAGGCUUGACAUGAACCGGAACGGCGCAGAGAUGUGUCGGCCACUUGUGGCCGGUUUACAGGUGGUGCAUGGUUGUCGUCAGCUCGUGUCGUGAGAUGUUGGGUUAAGUCCCGCAACGAGCGCAACCCUCGUUCCAUGUUGCCAGCGGGUUAUGCCGGGGACUCAUGGGAGACUGCCGGGGUCAACUCGGAGGAAGGUGGGGACGACGUCAAAUCAUCAUGCCCCUUAUGUCUUGGGCUUCACGCAUGCUACAAUGGCCGGUACAAAGGGUUGCGAUGCUGUGAGGUGGAGCUAAUCCCAAAAAGCCGGUCUCAGUUCGGAUUGAGGUCUGCAACUCGACCUCAUGAAGUCGGAGUCGCUAGUAAUCGCAGAUCAGCAACGCUGCGGUGAAUACGUUCCCGGGCCUUGUACACACCGCCCGUCAAGUCACGAAAGUUGGUAACACCCGAAGCCGGUGGCCUAACCCUUUUGGGGGGGAGCCGUCGAAGGUGGGACCG
rnacentral:rRNA from 1 species